rnacentral:rRNA from 1 species
UAAGGAAUCUUCCACAAUGGGCGCAAGCCUGAUGGAGCGACGCCGCGUGCGCGAAGAAGCCCUUCGGGGUGUAAAGCGCUUUUCCCAGGGAUGAUCCCAGACAGUACCUGGGGAAGAAGCCUCGGCUAACUACGUGCCAGCAGCCGCGGUAAUACGUAGGAGGCAAGCGUUGUCCGGAAUUACUGGGCGUAAAGCGCGUGUAGGUGGUGGGACAAGUCUGCUGUGAAAGCGCCAGGCUUAACCGGGCGAGGUCGGCGGAAACUGCCUCACUUGAGGACGGUAGAGGGGGGUGGAAUUCCCGGUGUAGUGGUGAAAUGCGUAGAGAUCGGGAGGAACACCUGUAGCGAAGGCGGCCCCCUGGGCCGGCCCUGACACUGAGACGCGAAGGCGUGGGGAGCGAACGGGAUUAGAUACCCCGGUAGUCCACGCAGUAAACGAUGCAUACUAGGUGUGGGGGGUAUCGAGCCCCUCCGUGCCGUAGCCAACGCAAUAAGUAUGCCGCCUGGGGAGUACGGCCGCAAGGUUAAAACUCAAAGGAAUU